GACGAACGCUGGCGGCGUGCUUAACACAUGCAGGUCGAACGGAAAGGCCCUGCUUUUGUGGGGUGCUCGAGUGGCGAACGGGUGAGUAACACGUGAGUAACCUGCUCUUGACUUUGGGGUAACUUCAGGAAACUGGGGCUAAUACCGGAUAGGAGCUCCUGCUGCAUGGUGGGGGUUGGAAAGUUUCGGCUGUUGGGGAUGGACUCGCGGCUUAUCAGCUUGUUGGUGGGGUAGGGGCUUACCAAGGCUUUGACGGGUAGCCGGCCUGGGAGGGUGACCGGCCACAUGGGGACUGAGAGACGGCCCAGACUGCUACGGUAGGCAGCAGUGGCGAAUAUUGCACAAUGGGCGGACGCCUGAUGCAGCAACGCUGCGUGCGGGAUGACGGCCUUCGGGUUGAAAACCGCUUUCGCCUGUGACGAAGCGUUAGUGACGGUAAUGGGUAAAUAAGCACCGGCUAACUACGUG
rnacentral:rRNA from 1 species